rnacentral:rRNA from 1 species
UGGGGAAUAUUGCACAAUGGGGGAAACCCUGAUGCAGCGACGCCGCGUGGAGGAAGAAGGUCUUCGGAUUGUAAACUCCUGUUGUUGAGGAAGAUAAUGACGGUACUCAACAAGGAAGUGACGGCUAACUACGUGCCAGCAGCCGCGGUAAAACGUAGGUCACAAGCGUUGUCCGGAAUUACUGGGUGUAAAGGGAGCGCAGGCGGGAAGACAAGUUGGAAGUGAAAUCCAUGGGCUCAACCCAUGAACUGCUUUCAAAACUGUUUUUCUUGAGUAGUGCAGAGGUAGGCGGAAUUCCCGGUGUAGCGGUGGAAUGCGUAGAUAUCGGGAGGAACACCAGUGGCGAAGGCGGCCUACUGGGCACCAACUGACGCUGAGGCUCGAAAGUGUGGGUAGCAAACAGGAUUAGAUACCCUGGUAGUCCACACCGUAAACGAUGAUUACUAGGUGUUGGAGGAUUGACCCCUUCAGUGCCGCAGUUAACACAAUAAGUAAUCCACCUGGGGAGUACGACCGCAAGGUUGAAACUCAAAGGAAUUGACGGGGGCCCGCACAAGCAGUGGAGUAUGUGGUUUAAUUCGACGCAACGCGAAGAACCUUACCAAGUCUUGACAUCCUGCGACGAUGCUGGAAACAGUAUUUUCCUUCGGGACGCAGAGACAGGUGGUGCAUGGUUGUCGUCAGCUCGUGUCGUGAGAUGUUGGGUUAAGUCCCGCAACGAGCGCAACCCUUAUGGUCAGUUACUACGCAAGAGGACUCUGGCCAGACUGCCGUUGACAAAACGGAGGAAGGUGGGGAUGACGUCAAAUCAUCAUGCCCUUUAUGACUUGGGCUACACACGUACUACAAUGGCGUUAAACAAAGGGAAGCAAAGCUGUGAAGCUGAGCAAAUCUCAAAAAUAACGUCUCAGUUCGGACUGUAGUCUGCAACCCGACUACACGAAGCUGGAAUCGCUAGUAAUCGCAGAUCAGAAUGCUGUGGUGAAUACGUUCCC